UGGAAACAAACUUAACAAGGAAGUUUGCAGUGGAUUUAUAAUUUUAAUUCACUAUAUCUCUUGGAAUGGUUAUGAUAAAACAUUCUAGUUGCCAAUUUGGCAACUAAUUUUCAGAGUUUGGUCACCAAAGUGAAAAAUUUAGUUGCAUUGGCGCCUAUAUUAGAUGCAAUUUCAUGCCCUGCUCUUUCUAAUUCUCCAGAUCUACCCCAGUUGGAUUCUUUUAUUUCAAAUUCAACUCAUCAUCUUCCUCAUGAAAUAUAUUUCUUUUACUCUUGUCUCAGCAUGAAUCUGGUGGAAAUGUGUCUCAAUGUCAUUUCUCUAAUAAUGUAUAACAGGGGAAAAGUUGGACUAUCAGUGUUGGUUGCCUUCAUGGUGAGCACAAUGACAUUUUCCAAAACAGUAUUCUACUUCCUCGUCUCUAGUGAGUUGUGUGGUGGACAACACUUUGUGAACCACAAUGACUGGAAGUCUGCAGUGUUUUUAUACAUUAUUCCAAAUGGUAUCUGGAUACUUGUUCCCUUUCUCUGUAUGGUGACCUUAGGAAAUAUCAUAGUAGAUUGUGCAGGAAAUGGACAACCAACAGGGAAGAAAACAAAAUCUUAUUAAGUAGGAAUUUUUAAAUUGAUCAUAUCAUUGAUUUGUGUGGUAAUUCUUUAUUAACCAUUUACUCCCAAGAUCUGCUUAUCAAUUCUCACCUCUACCUGCUACAUACUUCUUAGUAAAUCAGUUUCAAGAAUUUGGUGUUAGAUCAAGAUAACAACAUAUACCUGAUUAGUUUGAGUAUUCUUAUCACCUGUUUGCUGGAUAAUGUAUGGCUAUUAAAGGGAGAAGUUACAUUUUAAUCACUGCUGGGAGUUAAAGAGUUAAACAUGGUGGAACCCUGAACAAAGGUAACAGGGAAAGUUAAUGAAAACUUUUCAUAGCCACAACAGAUUGUAUCCCAUUAGUAAAGGUGAACUCUGACCUGAGGUGUCUAAUGGAAAAGGUUGCAUUGUAUAAGGGCAAACAACAUUCCCCUAACUUGGAAAGUAAGGAAUAGGCCUUUGUUUGUAACCAAUGUUCAGAAGAAUAAGCAUGUGCACAGCAUAAGCUUAGAGAUUUUGGGGAAAAGGUCUGUGAGUGCUCCCAAUAGGAGUCCACAGCACAACCUGCCAAUUAGUACUAUGGAAAAUCUACAACUAGAGCUACACAAGAAUCAUGGCAGGCUAGGCUGUUUCACCAGGUCAAAAGUGACAAACUUCCUGCCUAAUGCUGGGACAGGAAUGUCGAAAUGUAAUGCUUCUGCACAAUGAGGAUGUUAAAUUUAUGUGCUAGAGUACUUGGCCUGGUUGUAUGAAGGGCCAAUAAAGCUAUCCAACACAAAAUAAAUAAAUGAAUAAAUCUCUAUCCAACUGAUAAGUGAUGGCAAAAUGUAUAGCAUUACCCACGGGAUAGAGAUUUAUCCUGUGGAUGGCAUUAUCCGACCUUCAAUCAACCAGGACCUUAUAUAUUGGGGGUUAAUAGGAUAAGUCGAUAAUAAAUAGGAACAUCAUCGUUUGUCAAUACCAUUCCUUUUUGGCAUACAGGGGAAAGAAAUUUGUUAAGAAAUUUGCAAAGUAAAUGUACUUGAAGUUCACAUUAAAUGACAAGUAUGCUUUACUGCUUCAA
rnacentral:lncRNA from 1 species